UACACUGCUCCUCAUGUGGCGCAGAGACUGUAGUCUAGUUGUGUGGCUGCGUGCUGGAAAGACUCACUUUGCAUGAAUAGCUAACGUUACAGCCAUAAUCUGCAUGGUUACAAAGAAACUCUUCAUCCUCUGGUGUUAAUGACAACACGCAGAUCAAAUCUGAUCUGGAACGUGAAAUGGCCAAACAGUGACAGCUUUGGACCUUUUUGAUGCUGUUGAUCAUCCUGAAUCAGCUGGGGAGCAACCUGCACUGAAGUCAGUCCCGUGAUUCAGGAUGUGCUUCCCCAUCACGUGCAGGGGUUUCCCUUCUCACCAGUCUGGACAUGUCCGUGCAUGUUUGAAAGCGAGAGAGAGGGGGAGAGAGAUCAAAGAGGGAGGAAUGCAAGCCUUUUUGGGAUUGCAGCCAUACUUUAGUUAUUAUAGUUAAGUUGUUUCCCAAUCAUGCCAUGCUUAGCUGUCAGGAACCGUUUUCACACUUUCUUCUGUGGAUUUAGGUCUUAUUAAAUGGCAGCUUCUGUUCAGCCCAGCUUUUAUGGAAGUUUGACACGGACAGUGACUACAUAUCGAAAUGAAAAUUGCUUUAGUUGUUAAAGGGACAUGUGAUAACACUUUCUAUACAGUAUGUUACAUUUUCUGUAUAAUGGAGAUUAUACUACUUU